GUGGGGAAUAUUGGACAAUGGGCGAAAGCCUGAUCCAGCCAUGCCGCGUGUGUGAAGAAGGUCUUCGGAUUGUAAAGCACUUUAAGUUGGGAGGAAGGGCAGUAAGUUAAUACCUUGCUGUUUUGACGUUACCAACAGAAUAAGCACCGGCUAACUUCGUGCCAGCAGCCGCGGUAAUACGAAGGGUGCAAGCGUUAAUCGGAAUUACUGGGCGUAAAGCGCGCGUAGGUGGUUCAGCAAGUUGAAGGUGAAAUCCCCGGGCUCAACCUGGGAACUGCCUCCAAAACUACUGAGAUAGAGUACGGGAGAGGGUAGUGGAAUUUCCUGUGUAGCGGUGAAAUGCGUAGAUAUAGGAAGGAACACCAGUGGCGAAGGCGACUACCUGGACUGAUACUGACACUGAGGUGCGAAAGCGUGGGGAGCAAACAGGAUUAGAAACCCGUGUAGUCC
rnacentral:rRNA from 1 species